rnacentral:rRNA from 1 species
AAUCAACGCUGGCGGCGUGCCUCAGACAUGCAAGUCGAACGAUUAAAGCUCUCUUCGGAGAGUGUAUAGAGUGGCGCACGGGUGAGUAACACGUAAGUAAUCUACCUUUGAGUGGGGAAUAACCCGGGGAAACCCGAGCUAAUACCGCAUAAUGCAGCGGCAUCGCAAGAUGACAGUUGUUAAAGGAGCAAUCCGCUUAAAGAGGAGCUUGCGGCAGAUAGCUAGUUGGUAAGGUAAUGGCUUACCAAGGCUACGAUCUGUAUCCGGUCUAAGAGGACGGUCGGACACACUGACACUGAAUAACGGGUCAGACUCCUACGGGAGGCAGCAGUCGGGAAUUUUGGGC